GAGAGCUAUUCCACCAUAAGAAAUCAGAUAGAGAGAGGGGAUGAACAUACCUUGGGGUGUGAGGCUUGGGGUGGGCUUCGAUUUCCUUGGCAUGAGCAUUGGAGGAGAUCCAACUCCUCUUUGGGUGAGAGACCUAGAAUUGUUCUAGAAUUUUUGGAUGAGGAAAAAUACAAAAGAGAAGAGAGUUUUUCUUUGAUUUUUCCUCUACCAUCUAGCACCUCC
rnacentral:lncRNA from 1 species